rnacentral:rRNA from 1 species
GUGGGGAAUAUUGGACAAUGGGGGGAACCCUGAUCCAGCCAUGCCGCGUGUGUGAAGAAGGCCUUUUGGUUGUAAAGCACUUUAAGCGAGGAGGAGGCUACCGAGAUUAAUACUCUUGGAUAGUGGACGUUACUCGCAGAAUAAGCACCGGCUAACUCUGUGCCAGCAGCCGCGGUAAUACAGAGGGUGCAAGCGUUAAUCGGAUUUACUGGGCGUAAAGCGCGCGUAGGUGGCCAAUUAAGUCAAAUGUGAAAUCCCCGAGCUUAACUUGGGAAUUGCAUUCGAUACUGGUUUGCUAGAGUAUGGGAGAGGAUGGUAGAAUUCCAGGUGUAGCGGUGAAAUGCGUAGAGAUCUGGAGGAAUACCGAUGGCGAAGGCAGCCAUCUGGCCUAAUACUGACACUGGGGUGCGAAAGCAUGGGGAGCAAACAGGAUUAGAUACCCGGGUAGUCC